rnacentral:rRNA from 1 species
CUCCUGGAAACGGGUGGUAAUGCCGGAUGUUCCACAUGAGCGCAUGCGAGUGUGGGAAAGGCUUUUUGCGGCAUGGGAUGGGGUCGCGUCCUAUCAGCUUGUUGGUGGGGUAACGGCCUACCAAGGCGUUGACGGGUAGCCGGCCUGAGAGGGCGACCGGCCACAUUGGGACUGAGAUACGGCCCAGACUCCUACGGGAGGCAGCAGUGGGGAAUAUUGCACAAUGGGCGCAAGCCUGAUGCAGCGACGCCGCGUGCGGGAUGGAGGCCUUCGGGUUGUAAACCGCUUUUGUUCAAGGGCAAGGCACGGUUUCUGCCGUGUUGAGUGGAUUGUUCGAAUAAGCACCGGCUAACUACGUGCCAGCAGCCGCGGUAAUACGUAGGGUGCAAGCGUUAUCCGGAUUUAUUGGGCGUAAAGGGCUCGUAGGCGGUUCGUCGCGUCCGGUGUGAAAGUCCAUCGCUUAACGGUGGAUCCGCGCCGGGUACGGGCGGGCUUGAGUGCGGUAGGGGAGACUGGAAUUCCCGGUGUAACGGUGGAAUGUGUAGAUAUCGGGAAGAACACC